CUGCAUUCCACAGGACUAGGGUGGUAGUAUAAAUUGUGCAGCAUAAAAAAAAGGAGCUGCACAGAGAAAUCAGGGUUCUUUUCCCUUGGCCGUUUUUGUUUUACUUUUUGUUCCUUAUUUGGUGAUUUUCAUCUGCAAGCAGGUCAGUCUUUGGACUUGUUAUAAUUUACCAUUUUGCUUUUGUGUAACCUUUUGCUAGUGGGUAAUAAAAUUUUAGUAGGUCUUUUGGUUUUAAACACUGAUAUCUGAAAAAUGUACAUCAUAAAACUGCAUGAAUACAGUGUUUUUAGUCCAUCAUUAAUGAUAAAACUAUAAUAAUAAUGGCGGUUGCAUUUUGUUAGCAGGGUUCAAAUAUUUUUGUACUAUUUCAAUACUCAGAUUGACCAGAAUCGACAGGAUUAGAAAUGAUUACAUCAGAGGGACAGGUUUUGGAGACCAAGUUGGAGAGAGCUGGUGUGACAGAUGAGGAUGCUAGGGAUAGGAUGAUAACUAAAGCGAACAGCUGAAAGAGGAAGAAGAAGAAGACUAGAAGUUGUAUGCAAAAAAAAAUAUUACAUUAAUUAAGUAAUAUCCUUGGAAUGCUUCAGAGUUAAAGAAAACAAAAGUAACCUUGUGAUUUUGUCUCAGUGAAUUUGUAUAUCUGAUAACUGACCUCCAUAACUUACACACAGAGCUGUUUGUGAAAAUAAGUGACUCAUUGUUGUUGGAUGUUGUUCAAGUCAUAUAUCUCAUAUACACGGCUGACUUUAGUGGUUACUUUGCUUUUGUUAAAGUUAAAGAGUCUAUCAGCAGGUCACUGUGUAAUAUAUUUACUAUUGUGGCGGACCACCAGGUGGCUCCACUCACACCCAAGUGGAAGGGAAGUGCUGGGGUGGAGAUUUUGGCGCUUACUGUAUGUGAGGUUCUGAGAGUCAGUUAAUAAAGUUGGAGUGAGACACUGAGACCUCUCCUGUCAUUAUUACAUACCUCCACACUAUAAUCAAACAAUAUUCAUCAGAUUGAAUCUAAAAAGACAUCUUUACCAUCUGGUGCUUCAAACGAACAGCUUAUGUUCACCGCAGAUUAACCAACCAACCAGUCCACAGUCAAGUCACAAAGCUAGGGGCUCAUGAAGGUUCAAUGCGCCUGUUUGCUGCUGCUGCUGCUCUCUGCUGCUGUGCUCUCACAAACUUAUAAUGAUUUCAAAAGGAAACACAUCCUUCCAAAAAAGGGCUCUCAUGACUGUAAUAACAUGAUGAUAAAUGUCAAUGACAUAAAUCAGUGUAAGUCAAUAAAUACUUUCAUCAAAGAUAAGGGGAACUUAGUGCUACACAAAGCCACUACUAUCAAAAAUGGGUUUGUCACCCACAAAUUUGAUGUCAUUGACUGCAUAAUGAUAAGCAGCAAACCUUGUUUAUACCAAAUGCUAACACUCAGAAAAAACAAAAGGAUAAAAUGUGAAAAUGGCCUACCUGUACACCUUGAGGCCUGAAGUAUCAGGUUUCAAUGAUGCCUUAAACGGUUCUCUUUCUUUCUGUUUCUUUAUCAGUUAUAUAUUUUAUUGUGUGAUGCUGAAUCUGAGUAAAUAAGUCACAAAAAGAGUCCCAUCAGUCAGACUCUGCCCAAACUUUGCCUGUGCCACAAACCUUUAAUGUUGACCUUCCUUUAUAAACAUUUACAUUUGAUUUAAUAAAGGGUUUCUAAAACCACAAAAUUAACAGAUAGAAAGUAUGCCAUUGUUUGAAAUGUGUCUAUGAGGAAGCAAUAAGUUAAUAAAAAUGUGAAUUUGAACAUGUACUAUCUCAAGUAUAUCAUAAAAUAGUUUGAAAUGCUUAAUCAUUGUAGGGUCUGUGAUUUGGUGCUAUAUAUAUAAAAUGUAAUUCAAUUUAAUGCUGUUUUAAAUAGACAGUAGAAAUUCCUGAUUAUGUGUGUGUUGCUUGUUGAAGCACUUUGAGUUUGUUGAUACUUGCUGAAGACCAUCUCUGAAGAUGUCCUUUGGAUCAGUUACUAUCCUUACAUGACAUUAUCAUGUAUUAUGUGUGUUUUAACAGUUCUGAGAACAUGAUUGUGAUUGGCAGUCACAAUCAAAACUACUGUAACAACAUGUAUUGAUAAGUUAACAUUUGUAUGCCUUCACUUUUUGAUCAUCUGGAGAUCAUUUAACUAAAAUAAAAAUGUGCAAUCUGACAAACCAGGCUCUCUUGAUUUGUCUCUUACAUUUUUGUGUUCAGUACUGGCAUAAUCAUAAACUGAUGGUGAGAUUAAUCAAAUAGUUAUUGUGGAAUUAAAAUGUAGCACGGGCUACUCAGGUGAAAUAUCUUCA
ensembl:lncRNA